rnacentral:rRNA from 1 species
UACGUAGGGGGCUAGCGUUGUCCGGAAUUACUGGGCGUAAAGCGUGCGUAGACGGUUACAUAAGUCGGGUGUGAAAGCCCCGGGCUCAACCUGGGAAUUGCAUUCGAGACUGCGUAGCUAGGGUGCGGAAGAGGGAAGCGGAAUUUCCGGUGUAGCGGUGAAAUGCGUAGAUAUCGGAAGGAACACCAGUGGCGAAAGCGGCUUCCUGGACCAAUACUGACGAUCAGGUGCGAAAGCGUGGGGAGCAAACAGG